UUCUACUGUUUCUUAUUAUUAUUUUUUUUUUUUUCCCGCAAAUUUUGUGCACGAGAUUUCUCGAACAUUUUUUGUCUGAUUGCUAUGAAACUUUCAGGGUACGUAGAUGAUAUUAAUAUCUCUAGACGUUUUUUUCAAAUUUUUAAAAUUCACUUCCGGUUAUGAGUUAUUGCCCUUUAAUUGAAAAUUGGGGGGUCUUUUGUCCAGAGUUGAUCUCGGGAACUACAGAUGAUAGAUGCAUGAAAUUUGGCGAAAUUGUCGGUAACAUUUUAUAAUUUUGCUGGCAUGAAAAUUUUGGUAAUUUCUUUGUUAGUUUUUGAGCUAUUUGUCGCCAAAGUUUAAGAUUUUUUCGGGGCUGAAAUUUUGUUGCUUUUUGUAUUAUAACCUUUAAACUAAAAAUAUUUUGUUAAUACAUAUAGAACAAAAGUUGUUUAGAAUAACGAGAGCUUUCAUUUAAAAUUAAGAAAAAAGGGCUGGCCCCUAUAAUUAGGGGUCAGCAGCUCAUACACGUAUUUUUCUGAUAGCAAAAAUCGUUAUCAUUUUAUGAAAAAAAAUUAAUUUAGUUAUUGUUAAUAUAUUAAAUAAUGUCAUUUGGUAUCAAAUUAAACAAGUUCUGUCCUAUAUUUUUUUUCAAAUUUCAUAAAACAAAUAUGUGAGAAUCGUACAUGAACGAGUUAAUAUGUCUACAUAGACACACAAGCGAACAAAUGCCACAUUAAGGCCCAGGUAUUUACUGCAUUACGUUGUGUUGCGUCUUAGAUAAAUUGUUGUGAUUCAAUUUCAUUUUUUUCAUCUAUAUCAUUUAUGAAUUCAAUGAACACACAUUAUUUAAACGUUCUAUGUGCAACUAUUUGUCGGGGCGCCCCUGUUUGUGACCCCCGCGCGCGCGCGCCGAAUGUAAACAGUAACGAACGGCAUUGUAGAAAAGAGAGAGCCGUAAUGCAGAAGAGAAGUUGUGUAUUCUUUCGGUGUACACAUGCAUUUUCAAUUUGCUGUGAAACAUAUGAACAUGCACAGGGAACAAUACUACAUAUUUGUUUAAGGAGGAUAUUUUUCUCGUGUGAAUCGUUUACGAGGAAAUUCUGACAGCCACACUUCUGUCGACGAUCAGCCGUUGAUAAGCUACGAGUAAUAAAGGAGAAAAGAUGGACAUUAAAGUGUGUGAUUUAUGUGGAUGUUACUGAAGAAGCUCAAAACAGACUCUUGUUACCACAUGGCUUUUACCGGUACCUGUUGAUUCUUGUGGGUCAGCUCCUGAGAUUAACCUGUCAACUCUAUCCACAUGCAUAUUCCUUGUGUUCUACAGACUAUUUACUGGUAAUUCAAAUUAAAUCCGAUAAUGCAUGAACAAUAAUGGAACUUGAAGAAAGCAUCAUGCCAUGUUGUGGUUUGUGUUUGAUAAGAAAUUAUGAAAACAAAAUUAAGGCUGUUUAAAGAAAUUCAUAAUUGCUGUGAAAAUUUGGUUUUCAAUAAAAGUAUACAAUUA